rnacentral:rRNA from 1 species
AUGCUCUCCCAAGGCUCAGCAUACUCUGUGUACAUGGUGUACAAGUUAGCCAACGAUUCAUAUGGGUUGACCGACGGUUACUACGGCCAAGAAUUGCCGGUCCAGAAGGCAUCAGUGAGCGUUGGAGGCACUCACCAAACCCGCAAGGUCUGCCUCCAACCUAACCCGCAAAGAAGCAUGAGACGGAACUAUCAUGCAGCGCUUCCUCGCAAAAGAGCUGAUGGUUGGAUCGAGCUGGAGCUGGGCGAGUUUAUUUGCGAGGGGCACGAAUAUGGCGAUGUGUCCUUCGGUCUGUCAGAGAUGAAUGAUUUGAGAAGGAAGAACGGUCUUAUCGUGCAGGGUAUUGAGAUUAGGCAUAAGAUUUGA